UAACACCCCGUAUUUUAAGAUAUGAAAUAAAAUAUCUUAAAAUAUGUUUUAAAACCUAACAAUGAGGUAAAAGAAUAAAUAUGAAUAUUUAUAAAAAUAAAUAUUCAUUUAGAAGCCUUUAUAGUUUUAAUUUGAUAAAAACUCAAACGGACCUUGAACUUUAGAAUAACGGAAACAGGGUCAAACAAACUCCGUUUUGGUCGAUUCAAAAACUGGGACGCUCGUCUUGAAGUCCUCUAGCUAUUCUCCAAAUUUCAUAAUUUUUGGACUCUAUUUGGUACUCGAGAACAUCCGCGAAAAACUACACCUCUAAAUAGGACGAAAAUUCAGUUUAUAAGUAUUGGGUCAUCUUUGAACUUAACCCAACCCAUUCCAAUUGCUAUCUACAAACCCAACCCACCUUUGAGAAAAUAGUAAUUUCCUUGAGUAAGAAACUAGGCAUAGUAGAUUGGUUUAGCAAUGAGAAUGGUUAAAUAAUAAUAAUAAUAAUAAUAAUGUUAGAAUAAUAUAUUAAGGUUGAGUGCAUUAUGGUAGGUAAGUUUGAGUGCAUUUUUGAGUGCAUUGUGGUAGGUAAGGGUUGAGUGCAUUGUGGUGGGUAAGUUUGAGUGCAUUGUGGUAGGUAAGGUUGAGUGCAUUGUGGUGGGUAAGUUUGAGUGCAUUGUGGUAGGUAAGGUUAAUUCUCAUCCAUUGGAUCAAAAUGUAUCUACUUGAUCCUAGCCAUUCAUUCUCUUAUAAAUAGAACCAUGGUGGAAGAUGCAAUACUCAUUAAGCUUCACUCACUCACACACCUACAACCAAGAGAGAAAAUUGUGGAAUUUGUGUAGUUUUGUGUGGUUCAAGACUUGAAGUGUGUGCUAAGAAGUAUUUUGAAAAGAAGUUUAAAGGAGCUACACGAAGAAGAAUCCCAUGAUGCAGGUACGAAAGAUUAGAGCUCACGAGGUUUUAUAGCUAAAGACGCAUAGUUUAUAUUUUGUUUGUAGUAUUCUGUGUUUAUAGCAUUUUAUGUUGACAAGAUUGCUAAUGAUUUAUAUGUAUUCUUUUGUGUCAUUAUGGACACCUAUUUCCUUGUAUUUGUUAUAAGUAUUUUCUAACGAAUAUCUAAAGGUAUUUAAUUUAAAGGCUCUAAAUGUGUUAUUUAA